rnacentral:lncRNA from 1 species
ACAAUCGGGACACGUGAGACUUGCUCUUGGACUGCUGAGCAAAUGCUUAAAUAUUUAGUCAUCACAGGGGAAACAAGGCCAAGGAAGCACCAGGCGCCCAGAUCCUGUGGGAGAAGCCUGGCCCAUCUAGGCUGACAACCAGGCUUUCCAGAGGAGGUUACAAAAGGAGGAUUCGUUGAAACUCUCCUUGGGCCCCACGCUUGCUCGGGAUCUGGAUUCCAUUUGGCAGCGCGCAGCCGUCCAGUGUACGGGCUAGUUCCUCGGCGCUGGUGUUCACAGCAAGUGAGAGCUUCCUCCAUGCGUCCCUUUGAGCUUUGUUAAUGAGCAUAAGCACAC